rnacentral:rRNA from 1 species
UACGGGGGGAGCAAGCGUUGUUCGGAUUUACUGGGCGUAAAGGGCGCGUAGGCGGCGCAACAAGUCACUUGUGAAAUCUCCGGGCUUAACCCGGAGCGGUCAAGUGAUACUGUCGUGCUAGAGUGCGGAAGGGGCUACUGGAAUUCUCGGUGUAGCGGUGAAAUGCGUAGAUAUCGAGAGGAACACCUGCGGCGAAGGCGGGUAGCUGGGCCGACACGUGACGCUGGAUGCGCGAAAGCCUAGGGGAGCGAACGGG